rnacentral:rRNA from 1 species
UACGUAGGGCGCAAGCGUUGUCCGGAAUUAUUGGGCGUAAAGAGCUCGUAGGCGGUCUGUUACGUCCGCUGUGAAAACCCAGGGCUUAACCCUGGGCUUGCAGUGGAUACGGGUAGACUAGAGGCAGGUAGGGGAGAAUGGAAUUCCUGGUGUAGCGGUGAAAUGCGCAGAUAUCAGGAAGAACACCCGUGGCGAAGGCGGUUCUCUGGGACGGUACUGACGCUGAGACGCGAAAGCGUGGGGAGCGAACAGG